rnacentral:ncRNA from 1 species
AGUCAGCAUUUAGAGAGGGCUGACGCGCCCCGCCAACCUGCAGCUUGAGCAAGGUGGUUACCUCGCAAGAGGGAUGUGGCCUGAUAGGCAACGUCGAGCGUUG